UAUCUCUUAUUAUCUUGCCUAACUGCCUCUCUCUCUCCCUCUCUCCCUCUCUCUCUCUCUCUCUCUCCUCUCCUCUCCUCUAUCCCUCUCUCUCCCAGAAACGCACAAACACAAAAACAAAAUGGAUAAAAAACCAUGCAAUAGUUCAUCCCAGGAUGUUGAAGUGAGAAAAGGGCCAUGGACCAUGGAAGAAGAUUUGAUUCUCAUCAACUAUAUUGCAAAUCAUGGUGAAGGUGUAUGGAACUCCCUAGCCAAAUCUGCUGGUCUCAAACGUACUGGGAAGAGCUGCCGGCUCCGGUGGCUGAAUUAUCUACGGCCUGAUGUUCGGAGAGGCAACAUCACACCUGAGGAACAACUUCUGAUUAUGGAACUGCAUGCAAAGUGGGGUAACAGGUGGUCGAAAAUCGCAAAACAUUUACCGGGACGGACCGAUAAUGAAAUCAAGAACUAUUGGAGGACUAGAAUUCAAAAACAUAUUAAGCAAGCUGAGAAUACAACACCAGGACAAAGCUCUGAGGUGAAUGAUCAGGCUAUCACAAGUCAAGUGUCCAUCUCUAACACUGUGGACACGAUGGAUAUUUCCCACUCCGCACCAACAUACCAAGCAAAUAUGGAUGCUUAUCCUCCUCCUUUACCUGCUGAUCAAUCUAAUGAAAGCUAUUGGAGCAUGGAGGAUCUCUGGUCUCUGCAAUUGCUAAAUGGAGAGUAAUUAAACAACCGAUUUCAUAUAUUAUGAUCCAAAUUCUAAAUUUGGAUCAUUAAUUAUUAGUUGAGCUGAUCACACGGCUUUUAUUUAGUCUGAGUUUGCACAUGAAAAUUGGAAGUGGUGAUGACUAUGAAGAUUCGAAGAAAGAAAGGAUGAAGAUACGUACGUACACAUACAGCCAUGAUACGAUUGAUACAGCAAAAGAGCCGCUGGGAAAUCGACACGUGGAAAGCUAAUAUAGCUACUCUUGUCAGAUUCCAUCCCAGCUUUCCAAAGUUGUGCAUGGCCAUGCAAAAUUGAUGUUCGACGUGAGCCUAACUUGCACCACCGCAAGCAAGUUUUCACAUGCCCUUUAUUAAUUUCCAUAUUUUAUUUUCCCUACAAAUACUUCUAUUUUCUUAAAUAUUUAUGGUAUUUACUAGUCCAACGCGCUA